rnacentral:rRNA from 1 species
GUACCUUUUGGUUCGGAACAACUGAGGGAAACUUCAGCUAAUACCGGAUAAGCCCUUACGGGGAAAGAUUUAUCGCCGAAAGAUCGGCCCGCGUCUGAUUAGCUAGUUGGUGAGGUAAUGGCUCACCAAGGCGACGAUCAGUAGCUGGUCUGAGAGGAUGAUCAGCCACAUUGGGACUGAGACACGGCCCAAACUCCUACGGGAGGCAGCAGUGGGGAAUAUUGGACAAUGGGCGCAAGCCUGAUCCAGCCAUGCCGCGUGAGUGAUGAAGGCCCUAGGGUUGUAAAGCUCUUUUGUGCGGGAAGAUAAUGACGGUACCGCAAGAAUAAGCCCCGGCUAACUUCGUGCCAGCAGCCGCGGUAAUACGAAGGGGGCUAGCGUUGCUCGGAAUCACUGGGCGUAAAGGGUGCGUAGGCGGGUCUUUAAGUCAGGGGUGAAAUCCUGGAGCUCAACUCCAGAACUGCCUUUGAUACUGAAGAUCUUGAGUUCGGGAGAGGUGAGUGGAACUGCGAGUGUAGAGGUGAAAUUCGUAGAUAUUCGCAAGAACACCAGUGGCGAAGGCGGCUCACUGGCCCGAUACUGACGCUGAGGCACGAAAGCGUGGGGAGCGAACAGGAUUAGAUACCCUGGUAGUCCACGCC